UACGGGGGGAGCAAGCGUUGUUCGGAUUUACUGGGCGUAAAGGGCGCGUAGGCGGAUCUUUAAGUCAGGGGUGAAAGCCUGAGGCUCAACCUCAGAAUUGCCUUUGAUACUGAAGAUCUUGAGACCGGAAGAGGUUAGUGGAACUGCGAGUGUAGAGGUGAAAUUCGUAGAUAUUCGCAAGAACACCAGUGGCGAAGGCGGCUAACUGGUCCGGUUCUGACGCUGAGGCGCGAAAGCGUGGGGAGCAAACAGG
rnacentral:rRNA from 1 species